rnacentral:rRNA from 1 species
CGGAUAACCCGUCCAAAGGGGGCCUAACACGAUAUGCAGUCCACAGAAGGCAUCUGACGCGGACGAAAUGUAAAGGAGAAGGAUGGGGAUGCGUCUGAUUAGCUUGUUGGCGGGGUAACGGCCCACCAAGGCGACGAUCAGUAGGGGUUCUGAGAGGAAGGUCCCCCACAUUGGAACUGAGACACGGUCCAAACUCCUACGGGAGGCAGCAGUGAGGAAUAUUGGUCAAUGGGCGAGAGCCUGUACCAGCCAAGUAGCGUGCAGGAAGACGGCCCUAUGGGUUGUAAACUGCCUUUAUGCGGGGAUAAAGUGAGCCACGUGUGGCUUAUUGCAGGUACCGCAUGAAUAAGGACCGGCUAAUUCCGUGCCAGCAGCCGCGGUAAUACGGAAGGUCCGGGCGUUAUCCGGAUUUAUUGGGUUUAAAGGGAGCGUAGGCCGUCUGGUAAGCGUGUUGUGAAAUGUCGGGGCUCAACCUGGGCAUUGCAGCGCGAACUGUCAGACUUGAGUGCGCGGGAAGUAGGCGGAAUUCGUCGUGUAGCGGUGAAAUGCUUAGA